rnacentral:tRNA from 1 species
ACCGAAAUAGCUCAGUUGGGAGAGCGUUAGACUAUAGAUCGAAAGGUCUCUGGUUCGAUCCCGAGGUUCGGCA